rnacentral:snRNA from 1 species
GUGCUCGCUUCGGGAGCACGUAUACUAAAAUUGGAACGAUACAAAGAAGAUUAGCAUGGCCCCUGCACAAGGAUGACGCACAAAUUCGCGAAGCGUUCCAUAUUUUU